rnacentral:sRNA from 1 species
CUGCGAAGUCCGACUCUGCCACCUCCUCGUGGUGCAGCCUGGUAACAUCAUCUAGUGAUGAUGGCCAAGAGCAGAGCGGUUGUUAUGAGUGUCUGAUUCUUAGUGAACUCAGCAUUCAUUGGCCUUCAGGCCUUGAUCUUUGCUCCCUGCGAGCAAUCGCCCUGCCUCCGCCCUGCCUCUGCUCUCUGUGAGCAAUCGUCCUGCCGCUGCUCACUACGAGCAAUCGCCCUGCUUCCGCCCUGCCUCUGCUCCCUGCGAGCAAUCACCCUGCCGCUGCUCGCUACGAGCAAUCGCCCUGCUGCUGCUCCCUGCGAGCAAUCGCCCUGCUUCCGCCCUGCCUCUGCUCCCUGCGAGCAAUCACCCUGCCGCUGCUCACUACGAGCAAUCGCCCUGCCGCUGCUCCCUACGAGCAAUCGCCCUGCCGCUGCUCCCUGCGAGCAAUCGCCCUGCCGCUGCUCCCUACGAGCAAUCGCCCUGCCGCUGCUCCCUGCGAGCAAUCACCCUGCCACUGCUCGCUACGAGCAAUCGCCCUGCCGCUGCUCCCUGCGAGCAAUCACCCUGCCACUGCUCGCUACGAGCAAUCGCCCUGCUGCUGCUCCCUGCGAGCAAUCGCCCUGCUGCUGCUCCCUGCGAGCAAUCACCCUGCCGCUGCUCCCUGCGAGCAAUCACCCUGCCUCCGCUCUGCCUCUGCUCUCUGUGAGCAAUCGCUCUGCCGCUGCUCCCUGCGAGCAAUCAUCCUACUACUGCUCACUCCGAGCAAUCACCCUGCCGUAGCACUUGUGUGCUUUGAUUAUCUUUACCAUGAAUGGCCAUACGUCGGGCCAGAAGUGGAUGAACAGUCUAUAUAGACUGAGUCUUCUCAAGAGUUGCUAUCUGAAUCCUGUGUCUAUCAUUACUGUGUAUAUAGAGAUUUCUCCAGCAUAGCACGUCUCCAUGCCCUUCGGGAGGCUUCUGAAACACGGGCGCUGCCCGUGUUUUCUCCAGGAUGUUAAACCAAUACAAACAAACAAACAAAAUCACUUCAUGCUCUGCACUCAUAUAGUUUCUAACAAUUCUUCUGUAUAACUCUUAAUGUUCUUUCACUUCAUGCUCUGCACUUGCAAAGUCUCUAACAAUUCUUUCAUAUAGCUUCUAACAUUCUCUCACUCUGUGUUUCACAUUCAUAUAGUCUCUAACAAUUCUUUCAUAUAGCUUCUAACAUUCUUUCACUUCAUGUUCUGCAUUCAUAUAGUCUCUAAUGAUUCUUUCAUAUAGUUCUCAAUGAUUCUCUCAUCUCACACUCUGUAUUUAUAUAGUUUCUAAUGAUUCUUCUGUGUAGCUCUUAAUGUUCUUCUGCUCCAUGCUUCACUAUGAAGCAGCUUCUGAUAUUCUUUCACUCUGAACUUUUCUCUAUAAAAACUCUCUUCAUACAAUCUUUUCUUCUGAUUUCUUUUCUCUUUCUUUCCUUAAUCAAUUUGUAAUCUGUAAUUAGAAUAGUAUCAAAUCGUUA